CUCCUACGGGAGGCAGCAGUGAGGAAUAUUGGUCAAUGGACGAGAGUCUGAACCAGCCAAGUAGCGUGAAGGAUGACUGCCCUAUGGGUUGUAAACUUCUUUUAUACGGGAAUAAAGUGAGGCACGUGUGCCUUUUUGCAUGUACCGUAUGAAUAAGGAUCGGCUAACUCCGUGCCAGCAGCCGCGGUAAUACGGAGGAUCCGAGCGUUAUCCGGAUUUAUUGGGUUUAAAGGGAGCGUAGGCGGACGCUUAAGUCAGUUGUGAAAGUUUGCGGCUCAACCGUAAAAUUGCAGUUGAUACUGGGUGUCUUGAGUACAGUAGAGGCAGGCGGAAUUCGUGGUGUAGCGGUGAAAUGCUUAGAUAUCACGAAGAACUCCGAUUGCGAAGGCAGCUUGCUGGACUGUAACUGACGCUGAUGCUCGAAGGUGUGGGUAUCAAACAGGAUUAGAUACCCUGGUAGUCCACACAGUAAACGAUGAAUACUCGCUGUUUGCGAUAUACAGUAAGCGGCCAAGCGAAAGCGUUAAGUAUUCCACCUGGGGAGUACGCCGGCAACGGUGAAACUCAAAGGAAUUGACGGGGGCCCGCACAAGCGGAGGAACAUGUGGUUUAAUUCGAUGAUACGCGAGGAACCUUACCCGGGCUUGAAUUGCAACUGAAUGAUGUGGAGACAUGUCAGCCGCAAGGCAGUUGUGAAGGUGCUGCAUGGUUGUCGUCAGCUCGUGCCGUGAGGUGUCGGCUUAAGUGCCAUAACGAGCGCAACCCUUAUCGAUAGUUACCAUCAGGUUAUGCUGGGGACUCUGUCGAGACUGCCGUCGUAAGAUGUGAGGAAGGUGGGGAUGACGUCAAAUCAGCAUGGCCCUUACGUCCGGGGCUACACACGUGUUACAAUGGGGGGUACAGAAGGCAGCUACACGGCGACGUGAUGCUAAUCCCUAAAGCCUCUCUCAGUUCGGAUUGGAGUCUGCAACCCGACCCCAUGAAGCUGGAUUCGCUAGUAAUCGCGCAUCAGCCACGGCGCGGUGAAUACGUUCCCGGGCCUUGUACACACCGC
rnacentral:rRNA from 1 species